rnacentral:rRNA from 1 species
GAUGAACGCUGGCGGCGUGCCUAAUACAUGCAAGUCGAGCGAACAGACGAGGAGCUUGCUCCUCUGACGUUAGCGGCGGACGGGUGAGUAACACGUGGAUAACCUACCUAUAAGACUGGGAUAACUUCGAGAAACCGGAGCUAAUACCGGAUAAUAUAUUGAACCGCAUGGUUCAAUAGUGAAAGACGGUUUUGCUGUCACUGAUAGAUGGAUCCGCGCCGCAUUAGCUAGUUGGUAAGGUAACGGCUUACCAAGGCAACGAUGCGUAGCCGACCUGAGAGGGUGAUCGGCCACACUGGAACUGAGACACGGUCCAGACUCCUACGGGAGGCAGCAGUAGGGAAUCUUCCGCAAUGGGCGAAAGCCUGACGGAGCAACGCCGCGUGAGUGAUGAAGGUCUUCGGAUCGUAAAACUCUGUUAUUAGGGAAGAACAAAUGUGUAAGUAACUAUGCACGUCUUGACGGUACCUAAUCAGAAAGCCACGGCUAACUACGUG